rnacentral:rRNA from 1 species
GGCCAGACUCCUACGGGAGGCAGCAGUGGGGAAUAUUGCACAAUGGGGGAAACCCUGAUGCAGCGACGCCGCGUGAGCGAUGAAGUAUUUCGGUAUGUAAAGCUCUAUCAGCAGGGAAGAAAAUGACGGUACCUGACUAAGAAGCCCCGGCUAACUACGUGCCAGCAGCCGCGGUAAUACGUAGGGGGCAAGCGUUAUCCGGAUUCACUGGGUGUAAAGGGAGCGUAGACGGCCAUGCAAGCCAGGGGUGAAAGCCCGGGGCCCAACCCCGGGACUGCCCUUGGAACUGUGCGGCUAGAGUGCGGGAGGGGCAGGCGGAAUUCCUGGUGUAGCGGUGAAAUGCGUAGAUAUCAGGAGGAACACCGGCGGCGAAGGCGGCCUGCUGGACGAUGACUGACGUUGAGGCUCGAAAGCGUGGGGAGCAAACAGGAUUAGAUACCCGUGUA